rnacentral:rRNA from 1 species
GACGAACGCUGGCGGCGUGCUUAACACAUGCAAGUCGAACGGAAAGGCCCUGCUUUUGUGGGGUGCUCGAGUGGCGAACGGGUGAGUAACACGUGAGUAACCUGCCCUUGACUUUGGGAUAACUUCAGGAAACUGGGGCUAAUACCGGAUAGGAGCUCCUGCUGCAUGGUGGGGGUUGGAAAGUUUCGGCGGUUGGGGAUGGACUCGCGGCUUAUCAGCUUGUUGGUGGGGUAGUGGCUUACCAAGGCUUUGACGGGUAGCCGGCCUGAGAGGGUGACCGGCCACAUUGGGACUGAGUACCGGCCCAGACUCCUACGGGAGGCAGCAGUGGGGAAUAUUGCACAAUGGGCGGAAGCCGGAUGCAGCAACGCCGCGUGCGGGAUGAUGGCCUUCGGGUUGUAAACCGCUUUCGCCUGUGACGAAGCGUGAGUGACGGUAAUGGGUAAAGAAGCACCGGCUAACUACGUG